rnacentral:rRNA from 1 species
CCAANGGGAGGCUGCAGUCGAGAAUCUUCCACAAUGGACGAAAGUCUGAUGGAGCGACGCCGCGUGAUUGAUGAAGUCCCUCUGGGACGUAAAGAUCUUUUAUGAGGGAAGAAGUUUAUUGACUGUACCUCAUGAAUAAGAGGCUCCUAAUCUCGUGCCAGCAGGAGCGGUAAUACGAGAGCCUCGAGCGUUAUCCGGAAUUAUUGGGCGUAAAGGGUGCGUAGGUUGUUCUGUCAGUCUUUUGUGAAAGCCCCGAGCUUAACUUGGGAUAUGCAAAAGAAACAGCAGAACUUGAAAGUGUGAGAGGUGAAUGGAACUCAUGGUGUAGGGGUGAAAUCCGUUGAUAUCAUGGGGAACACCGAAAGCGAAGGCAAUUCACUGGCGCAUAUUUGACACUGAAGCACGAAAGCGUGGGUAGCGAAUGGGAUUAGAUACCCUUNUANUC